GAUGAAGAACGUAGCGAAAUGCGAUAAGUAAUGUGAAUUGCAGAAUUCAGUGAAUCAUCGAAUCUUUGAACGCACAUUGCGCCCGCCAGUAUUCUGGCGGGCAUGCCUGUUCGAGCGUCAUUUCAACCAUCAAGCCCUAGGCUUGCGUUGGAGCCCUGCGGCUGCCGCAGGCCCCUAAAAGCAGUGGCGGGCUCGCUAUCACACCGAGUGCAGUAGAUUACUCUUCGCUCAGGGCGUGUGGCGGGUUCCAGCCGUGAAACCCCCUACUUCUCAAGGUUGACCUCGGAUCAGGUAGGAAUACCCGCUGAACUUAAGCAUAUCAAUAAGCGGAGGA
rnacentral:misc_RNA from 1 species